AUUCUGACUGUGGUGCACUAAGAUCCAGGUUUAUUUAAUACACAGAUGUCGUUUGAAGAGAGUAGCCAAGUUGAUGAAGGUUCCGAGUGUCAAAACUGUAAAAAAAUAAUAAACGGUCAAGAAGAGAUGCAAGUAGAUGGCAAGCCUUUUCAUAAGGAUGGUUGCUUAAAAUGUACUCACUGUUCUAGAAACCUCAUGCCUGGAAACUAUGCAAGCAUAGGGAAUACAUAUUACUGCAAGCCGCAUUUUAAGCAAUUGUUUACGUUGGUUGAUGGCUACGGAGAUUUGCAGGAUGAAAACGGGAACGGUACAGGACUCAAAGGUGUUUGAGUAAUAAAGAGGGUCCAGGUGCUUUUGCCAGUUAUUUUUUAUGUGUACAAAAUUGAAUUAAUGAUAUAAAAAAUCCUCGAAUGACACAUGGUUUAGUUAUGUGUUGCGCGACGA